rnacentral:rRNA from 1 species
GACGAACGCUGGCGGCGUGCUUAACACAUGCAAGUCGUACGAUGACCCGGCUCUUCGGCGCUGGUGAUUAGUGUCGAACGGGUGAGUAACACGUGGGUGACCCGCCCUGCACUCUGGGAUAAGCCCGGGAAACUGGGUCUAUUACUGGAUACGACCAGUGGCCGCAUGUUCUGCUGGUUGAAAGCCCUUCGUGGUGGUGUUGGAUGGGCCCGCUGCGUAUCAGCUAGUAGUUGGGGUGGUGGCCUACCAAGGCGACGACGGGUAGCCGACCUGAGAGGGUGAUCGGCCACACUGGGACGGAGACACGGCCCAGACGUCGACGGGAGGCAGCAGUAGGGAAGCGGAGGCAAUGGGGGCAACCGGGACCGAGCAACGCCGCGUGAGUGAAGAAGGUUGUCGGAUCGUAAAGCUCUGUUGUAAGUCAAGAACGGGUGGGAGAGUGGAAAGUUCACACUGUGACGGUAGCUGACCAGAAAGGGACGGCUAACUACGUG